rnacentral:rRNA from 1 species
CAACCUGCCGAUAACUCGGGGAUAGCCUUUCGAAAGAAAGAUUAAUACCCGAUAGCAUAGUAUUUCCGCAUGGUUUCACUAUUAAAGAACUUCGGUUAUCGAUGGGGAUGCGUUCCAUUAGAUAGUUGGCGGGGUAACGGCCCACCAAGUCAACGAUGGAUAGGGGUUCUGAGAGGAAGGUCCCCCACAUUGGAACUGAGACACGGUCCAAACUCCUACGGGAGGCAGCAGUGAGGAAUAUUGGUCAAUGGACGGGAGUCUGAACCAGCCAAGUAGCGUGAAGGAUGACUGCCCUAUGAGUUGUAAACUUCUUUUAUACGGGAAUAAAGUGGAGUAUGCAUACUCCUUUGUAUGUACCGUAUGAAUAAGGAUCGGCUAACUCCGUGCCAGCAGCCGCGGUAAUACGGAGGAUCCGAGCGUUAUCCGGAUUUAUUGGGUUUAAAGGGAGCGUAGGCGGGUGCUUAAGUCAGUUGUGAAAGUUUGCGGCUCAACCGUAAAAUUGCAGUUGAUACUGGGUACCUUGAGUGCAGCAUAGGUAGGCGGAAUUCGUGGUGUAGCGGUGAAAUGCUUAGAUAUCACGAAGAACUCCGAUUG